CUACCAGGGUUUCUAAUCCUGUUUGCUCCCCACGCUUUCGUGCAUGAGCGUCAGUGUUAUCCCAGGGGGCUGCCUUCGCCAUCGGUAUUCCUCCACAUCUCUACGCAUUUCACUGCUACACGUGGAAUUCUACCCCCCUCUGACACACUCUAGCCGUGCAGUCACCAAUGCAAUUCCCAAGUUAAGCUCGGGGAUUUCACAUCGGUCUUGCACAACCGCCUGCGCACGCUUUACGCCCAGUAAUUCCGAUUAACGCUUGGACCCUACGUAUUACCGCGGCUGCUGGCAC
rnacentral:rRNA from 1 species